rnacentral:rRNA from 1 species
AUGCAGCAGGACACCCAGCCGGGCACCUACACCCAGUCUAGCACGCAUCAGGACUAUAAUCAGCUGGGCGCAGACACACAACAUCAGGAUUGGGCUGCCGGACAACAGGAGGAAGAGGAGGACGACGAUGGCAAUGAUCUAGAUGAUUUCAGUAUUCAAAGAAGAGGGGCAGAGGAGAAAGCUUCAACAUGCGGGAAGAAGAGCUGUUGUGCGAUGCAUGGUUGGCUACUAGCCUCGAUUCGAUCCAUUGAACGCAGUAACUUUUGGGCCAACAUUCAUACUUGGUUCCGUAUUUCGCGCCCUACUCUGACGCGGUCAUCUGCAGCCGUGAAUCGAAAUCCCUCAACCAUCGAUGGUAUAUCAUCCAAGGGGACACGUUUAAGUAUUGCGGCCACUUGA